GGUAAACUAUAGUAAGUGUAGGCGUAGGUGAACUAGUAGGUGAAGGCGUAGGUGAACUAUAGUAGGUGUAGGUGUAGGUGAACUAGUAGUAGGUGAAGGCGUAGGUGUAGGCGAACUAGCAUUCCCGAUAAUCACUUGAUGUUGCUUAAUUCCUGCUUCAGCAUGUUUAUCCCACCGCGGCCACCAAUGUAACGGGUUUUGUCCGGGGUCCCUGCACCAUUUACCGAGCGGUCAAUAAAUCUCACGAGACUCCAAUCACCCGCACGGUUCUUUCAUAAACAGUGAAGCUAUCACUCCAACAUCAUCGAUCGCACUCA